AGGCUAUUUAAUUUGAGGUGGGAUGGUGGUUGGCCUCAUGACAGAGCAAGAACACCUGGCUAGGUGUGACUCUCAGCCCUCCUUGGGGAAUAUCUCUUUGGUUUGGCAAUCCUUCUGACUCUUAGGGAGAGAACUCAUCUUGGUUGUUGAAGGCAUCGUGUAGAGCUCUCUGCUUGCCCCGUGGGAAGAAAUAGGAGUUAAGAAGAAUCCCAGUGCUUCCCUCCUUCCUGCCUUUAAGUGCCUUUAUGAUUUUCCGUUCUCCUCUGCUGGGCCUGUGAGAGAAGGGAUGCAAGGAGAUGCGAGUCUCACCGUUCUGACUGGGAGAAGAUCAGAAUGAACUGGUUUGUCUCCAAGGUGGACAGCCAUGCAGGAUUAGACAGCGAGAAUGUGGAGUGUGCUGAAUUCCAGGCGGAGAGAUCUGCAGGGAUUCUGGAGGGGAAAUCUGCCAAUCAGGUAUUUUUGAAAAGUAGGUAAUCUAGUUUAAUUCAAGAAUGUAUUACAAGAUAGACAAUUAUCUGGUGUUAAUUGACCAUUUCAUUGAAUUAAUUAGAGCUAUUCUGACUUAUAGCUUCUGAUAAUUAGAGCUAUUCUGACUUAUAGCUACUGAGGAUUUGGCUGAGUCCAUGUAAACAACUCUAAGCCCAUCAAAAGGCAGCAAGAAUUAGUACCAACAGAUAAAUCUAGGUGGGCUAUAGGUCCUUACCAACUGUCUUCCAAACUCAGCUCUUUCUUGUUACUGCAAUGAGUGCAGGGCCCUGGGUAUUGGUUUUGCAAGACUCAACAUUGACUCCAGGCUCCAGGGCUAGUUAUGUUGUUUAAAGGACUCAAAAAGCGGAGAGUGUGAGAAACACCAGAUUAGGCAGCUGGCAGUUUAAUUUUGGCAUGGGUAAGCACAAGGUAAUACAACAUGAAAGACCAAUUUAAACUACUUAUGUAACAC
rnacentral:lncRNA from 1 species